rnacentral:rRNA from 1 species
UACGUAGGUGGCGAGCGUUGUCCGGAUUUACUGGGCGUAAAGAGCGCGCAGGCGGCUGGUCAAGUCCGAUGUGAAAGCUCCCGGCUUAACUGGGAAAUUGCAUCGGAAACUGAUCGGCUGGAAGGUGGGAGAGGGUAGCGGAAUUCCCGGUGUAGUGGUGAAAUGCGUAGAUAUCGGGAGGAACACCAGUGGCGGAAAGCGGCUACCUGGCCCAU